UGAGGAAUAUUGGUCAAUGGGCGAGAGCCUGAACCAGCCAAGUAGCGUGAAGGAUGACUGCCCUAUGGGUUGUAAACUUCUUUUAUAAAGGAAUAAAGUCGGGUAUGCAUACCCGUUUGCAUGUACUUUAUGAAUAAGGAUCGGCUAACUCCGUGCCAGCAGCCGCGGUAAUACGGAGGAUCCGAGCGUUAUCCGGAUUUAUUGGGUUUAAAGGGAGCGUAGAUGGAUGUUUAAGUCAGUUGUGAAAGUUUGCGGCUCAACCGUAAAAUUGCAGUUGAUACUGGAUAUCUUGAGUGCAGUUGAGGCAGGCGGAAUUCGUGGUGUAGCGGUGAAAUGCUUAGAUAUCAUGAAGAACUCCGAUUGCGAAGGCAGCCUGCUAAGCUGCAACUGACAUUGAGGCUCGAAAGUGUGGGUAUCAAACAGGAUUAGAUACCCUGGUAGUCCACACGGUAAACGAUGAAUACUCGCUGUUUGCGAUAUACAGCAAGCGGCCAAGCGAAAGCGUUAAGUAUUCCACCUGGGGAGUACGCCGGCAACGGUGAAACUCAAAGGAAUUGACGGGGGCCCGCACAAGCGGAGGAACAUGUGGUUUAAUUCGAUGAUACGCGAGGAACCUUACCCGGGCUUAAAUUGCAGAUGAAUUACGGUGAAAGCCGUAAGCCGCAAGGCAUCUGUGAAGGUGCUGCAUGGUUGUCGUCAGCUCGUGCCGUGAGGUGUCGGCUUAAGUGCCAUAACGAGCGCAACCCUUGUUGUCAGUUACUAACAGGUUCUGCUGAGGACUCUGACAAGACUGCCAUCGUAAGAUGUGAGGAAGGUGGGGAUGACGUCAAAUCAGCACGGCCCUUACGUCCGGGGCUACACACGUGUUACAAUGGGGGGUACAGAGGGCCGCUACCACGCGAGUGGAUGCCAAUCCCCAAAACCUCUCUCAGUUCGGACUGGAGUCUGCAACCCGACUCCACGAAGCUGGAUUCGCUAGUAAUCGCGCAUCAGCCACGGCGCGGUGAAUACGUUCCC
rnacentral:rRNA from 1 species